UGGGGAAUUUUGGACAAUGGGCGCAAGCCUGAUCCAGCCAUGCCGCGUGCAGGAUGAAGGCCCUCGGGUUGUAAACUGCUUUUGUACGGAACGAAAAGCCUCUUUCUAAUAAAGAGGGGUGAUGACGGUACCGUAAGAAUAAGCACCGGCUAACUACGUGCCAGCAGCCGCGGUAAUACGUAGGGUGCGAGCGUUAAUCGGAAUUACUGGGCGUAAAGCGUGCGCAGGCGGUCGUGCAAGACAGUGGUGAAAUCCCCGGGCUCAACCUGGGAACUGCCAUUGUGACUGCAAGGCUGGAGUACGGCAGAGGGGGAUGGAAUUCCGCGUGUAGCAGUGAAAUGCGUAGAUAUGCGGAGGAACACCGAUGGCGAAGGCAGUCCCCUGGGCCUGUACUGACGCUCAUGCACGAAAGCGUGGGGAGCAAACA
rnacentral:rRNA from 1 species